UGUAGGCGGGCGAAGCGGGAUGAAGAGCCGUUCUAGGCAAACGCUGUUUCCGUACCCAGCAAGCCUUGCGGCAUUCUUACUUUACAAUCAUCCGUUUGUGACCUUUCUUUCCUGGGGUUUCUCUGACUUUGAAGAUGCUGGGUAAUAUUUCAAAGUUGUGGGCUAUGUAUAAACCUUCACAAGAAUUUCAACCUAUCGUGUUUUCUGCGAUCUUAACGGGAUACCUUUUUUACAGACUUGAAUUUGGAGGUAAAAAUGCAGCGGAAAAAGAGAAGAGGAGAACCAGCCCUCAGCAUCAUUAAAACUUGCAAUCUUCAGUAUGAAUUUUUGAACUGUCAUCCUAGCUGUAAACGAGCUGAGCUACAUCAUGGGAAACUAAUUAUUCUGUAAGCAGUGUGCAUCAUUAGCACAGUGGUAAUCUGCCAUUUGUCGUGGAGUGAAUAAAUGUGGUGUUCAAGAAG